GAUAGAUAAGGCCUGGUUUAAUGGUAACUAUUUUGUGAUUUUGAUAGAUGAAUGUAAUGGUUGCUGUCACAUGGACCAUUGCUUCUUCUUGUUGUUCUAUAUUUCCAGGUAGUGUAAUUUGUUUGUCAUGUUCUUUAUGUCUGAAUGUGUGCACGAAAUGCCCUUCUUGUAUAUAGUUGAUGACAUGGUGAAAUACAUGAUCUAUAUCUAUUCGUGUUUCCUUUUUGUCUAGCUUACUAAUGUGUUUAAGAAUUUACAUGUUCACAUUCUUCUAGCAUUUGUUGUCGUUUUCAUAGGCCUCGUAUCAUCAAUAAUUCAGGGCAUUGAAGCACCAUCACGUUUAAGAUCACAUAGGGACGUGUCUGACUCUGCCUAUUCCAAUGUCGAGAGCCGCGAGCAAAUCAGCACAUCAAGUGACAAAGUAUCAAUUUCUGUUUUUUAUACAUUACUUAGUUGUAAAUUUCCUUUGUCACUAAUAUAUUGAGAUGUAUCGUAGGUUCCUAAGGAUUUCCAAGAGGAUCAUGCAGAUCCCUCGAGGAUUUCCUCAUUAUGCUCAGUUUCUUCGCUCUCUCAGUCUUGUAGCUCUUAUUUAUUCAGUCCCAUCGGUCUCUCAUUCUAGUAGCUCAGUCUUUCAGUAUAUCUCUUAUUUCUUCAGUUUAUCUCAGUCUCAGUCAUAUUUUUUAUUUCAACCGUCUCUCAGUAAAGUUUUUAGUUUUCAAUUUCAUUCUCUCUUUCUCUGAAUCUUCAUUUUUCAAUCUCAUUCUUUCAGUUCCAUUCUUUACUUUUCACAUCUCAUUAUGCUUCUUCCGUCCACAUCUAUGUUCAGUCUUUAUUUUUUUCUCGGCCUUUUUCUCUGAUUUCCUCAUUAUGCUCAGUUUGUCUCACAUGUUAUUCUGCUUCUUCUGUACUUAUUAUGCUCAGUUUCUUAGUCUUGUACCUCAGUCUCUUAUUUUAUUUCUUAUGCUUAGUUUCAGUGAGUAUUCUCUUUCUCUAUCUCUUAUUUGCUCAUUCGGAUUUUCUUCAUUUUUCAUUCCUCUCUUUAUUUUUUCCAUUCGAUCUUAAUUAGCUCAAUCCUUAAAUUCACUUCGGUCAAUCAGUCUCUCAUUCUAGCAGCUCAGUUGCUUAGUUUAUCUCAUAGUUCUUCAAUUUAUUUCAGUCUCAGUCUUCAUAUUGGCUUCAAUUUUUUUAUCAGGGUCAGCCUUUCUGAAUUUAUCAUUCCACUGGCCAAGUAUGUUAUAUCUGUUUAAUACACACGUGUCAUUCUUCAGUUUCAAGGUUCAGUUUCCUAGUCUCUCUUAUCUUUCAAGUUUUACUUUCUCCAUCACUCAAUUCAAUUUUCAUUUUUUUAAUUAUGCUUCAUCCUUAUUUAUGUUCAUUCCUUAUUUUUUUCUCUGGUCUUUCCUAAUUCUGUUUAGUAUCAGCGCCAUUCUUCAGUCUCUCUCUCUUAUCUUUCAGUCCUUUCUCUCUCCAAUCUUCAUUGUCUUUCUUCCAGUUUCAUUGUCACUGUUCAUUGACAGCUUCCAUGAGGGUAUCCGUUUAAUUUCUCUGACGCAGAGCAUUUCUUGUUCCAUUCUUAUCCUAUUUUCUUAGUUUAUCUCAUUGCCUCUAUCUCAUCAUUAUCUUAGUCAUUUGUUGAUUGGAAGUAUAAGAUUUAGACUUCUGGAUUUUGUUAUAUCAAUCAUACAAAGAUGGCUAGAGGAUGUUUCUGCGACCUUAUUGCGCUGGUCAGUCUAAUUAGUACUCUCCUUAAGGUGGUAUGUGAUGCUUAAGUUGCUACAAGCACAUUAUUUUGGUUGAAGUUUGUGAGUUGUAAUGGUUAGAUUGGUAUGUUAGAUUAAUGUUGUUAGAUACCAUGUUGCCUUGUCAUAAAAGUAAGGAAUAUUUACGGACAACAUCCUACAUUACAUGCCAUAAUGAACUAUUGCAAACUAAUAUGUUUGUCGAUGUAGUGUAUGUUAAAGAAUGUAAGCUGCAAAAGGAAACUUACCUUUCUUAUUGGAAACAAAGGCAACCUCGAGUGUUCUCAAGGUUGUUGUUUUUAGAUGUGUGCUCGGGCUCCUAGCUCUGUCUUUUUGCUCAAAAGCAUGAUACACUGGACAACCGCUUAAAUGCAUACUCUAUAUCAGUUGAAGUAUCUUGCGCAUGUCAAGCAUGUCUUUGUCGCAGGGCUAAGCAACGCUAAUUGCAGUGAUGCAGUACAUGGCUCAGUUUUUUGAGUGGUGAAGAAGCUCGGACAUAUCAGUCAUGACAGAUCAAGAAAUGAGAGAGAGAGGAUAAAUGAUCAAGACAGAUGCUGAGAAGAGGUAGUGAAAAGGAGAAGGGAUGUGAGCUGGCAUGAGAGUGUAUGAGAUCCAAGAGUUUGCCCAUCUGCUACUGCCUUCAUUUUGAUGAAGUGGGAUUCAGGCGUCUUUAUGUGAGGAGGAAGAAGCAAGAAUGCUGACGUGGAGGCAGUUAUACCUAUUCGUGUGAAAUAGUCAAAUGUAACAAUAACUGGCCAGUUUGUUUUCAUUACCAGAGCUGCAAAGGAGGCUCAAUUAAUUGAGAUCUGGGUUUAGUCACGGUUAAAAAACCUGGGAAAAAAACUGGACUCAAUGGUAAUGGGAAUGAAGAGAUUGUUUUUUUUUCUAA